UCUAAUAUGGAUCAAAAAUUAAAAUCGGGUCAAGGGUAUCGGCACCCCUCUCUUUCUAUCUAACUCACCAUUUUUCCUCAGCCGCAGGUGCUCUGCUCUCCACCAUCGCUUCCACCUGCAACCCUUUCCCACCACCGUCUUCCCCCUGCCUUCCGUUUCUCUGGCCACUCCCUCCAUCCUUCGCCUCUCUCGCCACUCAGAAAUGCUAUUUGUUGUCUUUCUGAUGAGGAUCAACUGUCAGCUGUAAACAAUUGAGUCAGGGUGGCAUGUGAUGAUAGCGUAGAGGAAGAUUUUUAAUGGACCUGACAGCUAAAAGGCAUUUGAUUCAUUAUUAAGAUUCAAAAGGAGAUACCUACUGAUCAAGUUCUAAGGCAGUUGAAGUACAUAGAGAAGAUAUGGCAUCUGAAGCAACAUCUCAGUCAAAAGGGAAAGGCAAAGGGUAUUUCACUUGGACUCCUGAAAUGGAUCGUGUAAUGGGCACCUAUUUUAUUGACCAAAUGAACCAAGGAAACAAAUUGGAUGGUAAAUGUGCAUGGAAGACAGUAGCCUGCACCGCAGUAAUUUUAUGUAAGCAAAUGUUUCAUGAAAACAAUUCUAAUUCAUAAUGAAUUCUUUUCUCAUGCAAACAAAGGAUUUGGAAUUCCAAA